rnacentral:piRNA from 1 species
GUUGCUUGCACAGUGGAGACCUAGACCAUC